rnacentral:rRNA from 1 species
ACUCCUACGGGAGGCAGCAGUGGGGAAUAUUGCACAAUGGGGAAAGCCCAUCGAUGCAGCCAUGCCGCGUGUGUGAAGAAGGCCAUUCGGGCUUGGUUAAAGACACUUUUCAGUAGGGAGGAAGGUAGUGUAGUUAACACCUGCACUAUUUGACGUUACCUACAGAAGAAGCACCGGCUAACUCCGUGCCAGCAGCCGCGGUAAUACGGAGGGUGCGAGCGUUAAUCGGAAUUACUGGGCGUAAAGCGCAUGCAGGCGGCCUGUUAAGUCAGAUGUGAAAGCCC